GUGAAUCAUCAAAUCUUUGAACGCAUAUUGCGCUUUCUGGUAUUCCGGAGAGCAUGCCUGUUUGAGGGUAAUUAAAAGAAAUCUUUAAUCCUUUUUGUGAUUAAGGGAUAUGGGUUUUCCACGUUUAAUUCGUGGUAACCUGAAAUAUAUGAUAGUCUUCAUUUAGUUGAGACGCGUAAUAAUUUUAUUUCGUGAAAAGCUUAAUGAGCUAUCUAGUUUUGUUGACCUUGGUAAGGUUAUUAUAACAAAAAAUAAUUUCGACAUUACAU
rnacentral:misc_RNA from 1 species